rnacentral:lncRNA from 1 species
UGUUAGGGCCAGGAGGAGAACCUCGCCCUAACUUGAGCAAAGUCGAAGGCCCGGUUCUCUUUAGAUCGGAUGGGGGGAGAGGUCCUACAAUGCCCAUAUGCGCCCCCACAGCCCUGUUAGGGACAGGAGGAGAACCUCGCCCUAACUUGAGCAAAGUCGAAGGCCCGAUUCCCUUUAGACCGGAUGGGGGGAGAGGCCCUACAAUGCCCAUACGCACCCCCAUAGCCUUGUUAGGGAUAGAAGGAGAACCUCGCCCUAACUCGAGCAAAGUCGAAGGUCCGGCUCUCUUUAGGCCGGAAGGUGGGAAGGGCCCAGCAACGCCCAUAUGUACGCCCAC